GACGAACGCUGGCGGCGUGCUUAACACAUGCAAGUCGAACGGUAAGGCCCUUCGGGGUACACGGGUGGCGAACGGGUGAGUAACGCGUGAGUAACCUGCCCUUCACUCUGGGAUAACAGUUGGAAACGGCUGCUAAUACCGGAUAUUCAGCUCCUGUCGCAUGGUGGGGGUUGGAAAGUUUUGGUGGUGGAGGAUUGGCUCGCGUCCUAUCAGCUUGUUGGUGGGGUGAUGGCCUACCAAGGCGUCGACGGGUAGCCGGCCUGAGAGGGCGACCGGCCACAUUGGGACUGAGAUACGGCCCAAACUCCUACGGGAGGCAGCAGUGGGGAAUAUUGCACAAUGGGCGGAAGCCUGAUGCAGCAACGCCGCGUGCGGGAUGACGGCCUUCGGGUUGUAAACCGCUUUCAGCAGGGACGAAGCGCAAGUGACGGUACCUGCAGAAGAAGCACCGGCUAACUACGUG
rnacentral:rRNA from 1 species